CAGAGUGAAUAUAUGUAACGUAGAAAUUAUGCAGGUGAGGAUAAUCUGCAUAUAUAUAUAGCAAAGAGAGUCUAAAUACUUCUUAGUAGGAGUGUACAACAGUGCACUAUAGCUCCUUCAGGUGAGGUCACUCAAUGUGGCAUAGAGGGUGCAGCUGCUGUAUGCAGUGGAAGGAAGUCACUCUCCUAUGUGGGCAUCAGCUGAAAAAAUGUACUGAGAGGUAACAGGAGUUGUGGGGACAGCACACAGAAGCCACUGACCGGUCAGUUACCUUAUCUAGCUCUGCACUUGGCACCAAGCAAGUUCUCUCCCUGUGGUGGCUAGCAGGGAUUCCUCCUCCAACAUGGCCGCUGAGAUCUGCUGCUGCUGACAAGAGAACUCUUCCAGGGGGCUACAGCUUCACACAGCACCACUGGACACCUUUUUCCCAUGGCCAGGGAUCAGGAGCAGGACAGUGCAGGUCUCCACUACAGAUUGGAGAGUAUGAAACAUGAAAGACCACUGAAUCCGGUCGAAAGCUUUUUCAGCAUCCAACCCCAAGACCAGUGCCGGUUGCCUGCAGCUGUCAGCACUGACUUCACGGCUCUCAUUCCAUAGUCAUAAUGAUGCUGGGAAGACAAUUGUUCAGAGCACAGACGAUAUGUUGCCACAAUCUUCACUGACAAAGGCCGGGCUGUUACAAAGCCGCAGGAAUAUAAAACUAUUUCGGCUAUCAUGGCGUAAUCAGUUACUAAAAUUCCAUGGCCUCAACAACAAAAAUAUUUAAUUUAUGGGCUGGGAAACGAGCACAAUAUAAGCAACACAAUGGGGAUGAAUCUGAGUUGGACGCAGCCGCAUCCGUGUCUACAUCUUUUGCUGGUCACACAUCUGCGACUAAUGCUGCCGAAAGUACUCCACUGGUAAAAUGCCAUGUGUCUGAAUGUGCAGACUGGGAUGUCUACUUUAAGCACCAGAAGUCGCUGAAAUACCGAUUGGUGCGUCUGGCAGCAUCAAAACAUGAACCAGUCCUACAUCAGGUGUAGUUUAUCCGUCUGGGUAUGGCCUUUUAUGUGAUUAGGUGUCUGUGUACGCAAACGCCUCAACAUACCCAUAAGACAGACCAUCUCCGUGCAUCUCAAUAGCCACCCCCCAGUCACUGCCCAGGCACACCCAUAUACAUUUUGAUGUACUUCUCUGUGCGUGUGCCUGAAAUCACAACUGCAACUCUGUACGAACACAAUCGGGACAAAAAUGUGAGCAGGAAUUAUAGAAAACAAAUGGAUGGACUGUGUGGUAAAACCAGAAAAGUGUAUUGGCUACAAGAAAAAUAGAGAACUAGAAUUCCACCGGUCAGCAUACCUCCGCCGGUAUCCCGGAAGCAGAAUGCCGGCAGGGGAGGGAGGGGGCACAAUUUGUGUUUAUAUUAGACUUUUGUUCCAUUAUUUCUGAAAUUGGUUCAUCAUUCUGAAAAUAUACAUUGUUUAUAUUACUGA